rnacentral:tRNA from 1 species
GAGCCGGGUCACUCGGUUCAAGGGCUAAAUCAAGUGACUCGGGAUGAGGGUAGCGUGCUGCUGCGCGACCACCGUCCUCAAAAACAAAUCAGUCAGCUACGCAUGUAGAUCUACCCGAUGAUGGCUUGCGGACGGGGGUUCGAUUCCCCCCGGCUCCACCA